rnacentral:rRNA from 30 species
AAUUGAAGAGUUUGAUCAUGGCUCAGAUUGAACGCUGGCGGCAGGCCUAACACAUGCAAGUCGAACGGUAACAGGAAGCAGCUUGCUGCUUCGCUGACGAGUGGCGGACGGGUGAGUAAUGUCUGGGAAACUGCCUGAUGGAGGGGGAUAACUACUGGAAACGGUAGCUAAUACCGCAUAACGUCGCAAGACCAAAGAGGGGGACCUUCGGGCCUCUUGCCAUCGGAUGUGCCCAGAUGGGAUUAGCUUGUUGGUGGGGUAACGGCUCACCAAGGCGACGAUCCCUAGCUGGUCUGAGAGGAUGACCAGCCACACUGGAACUGAGACACGGUCCAGACUCCUACGGGAGGCAGCAGUGGGGAAUAUUGCACAAUGGGCGCAAGCCUGAUGCAGCCAUGCCGCGUGUAUGAAGAAGGCCUUCGGGUUGUAAAGUACUUUCAGCGGGGAGGAAGGGAGUAAAGUUAAUACCUUUGCUCAUUGACGUUACCCGCAGAAGAAGCACCGGCUAACUCCGUGCCAGCAGCCGCGGUAAUACGGAGGGUGCAAGCGUUAAUCGGAAUUACUGGGCGUAAAGCGCACGCAGGCGGUUUGUUAAGUCAGAUGUGAAAUCCCCGGGCUCAACCUGGGAACUGCAUCUGAUACUGGCAAGCUUGAGUCUCGUAGAGGGGGGUAGAAUUCCAGGUGUAGCGGUGAAAUGCGUAGAGAUCUGGAGGAAUACCGGUGGCGAAGGCGGCCCCCUGGACGAAGACUGACGCUCAGGUGCGAAAGCGUGGGGAGCAAACAGGAUUAGAUACCCUGGUAGUCCACGCCGUAAACGAUGUCGACUUGGAGGUUGUGCCCUUGAGGCGUGGCUUCCGGAGCUAACGCGUUAAGUCGACCGCCUGGGGAGUACGGCCGCAAGGUUAAAACUCAAAUGAAUUGACGGGGGCCCGCACAAGCGGUGGAGCAUGUGGUUUAAUUCGAUGCAACGCGAAGAACCUUACCUGGUCUUGACAUCCACGGAAGUUUUCAGAGAUGAGAAUGUGCCUUCGGGAACCGUGAGACAGGUGCUGCAUGGCUGUCGUCAGCUCGUGUUGUGAAAUGUUGGGUUAAGUCCCGCAACGAGCGCAACCCUUAUCCUUUGUUGCCAGCGGUCCGGCCGGGAACUCAAAGGAGACUGCCAGUGAUAAACUGGAGGAAGGUGGGGAUGACGUCAAGUCAUCAUGGCCCUUACGACCAGGGCUACACACGUGCUACAAUGGCGCAUACAAAGAGAAGCGACCUCGCGAGAGCAAGCGGACCUCAUAAAGUGCGUCGUAGUCCGGAUUGGAGUCUGCAACUCGACUCCAUGAAGUCGGAAUCGCUAGUAAUCGUGGAUCAGAAUGCCACGGUGAAUACGUUCCCGGGCCUUGUACACACCGCCCGUCACACCAUGGGAGUGGGUUGCAAAAGAAGUAGGUAGCUUAACCUUCGGGAGGGCGCUUACCACUUUGUGAUUCAUGACUGGGGUGAAGUCGUAACAAGGUAACCGUAGGGGAACCUGCGGUUGGAUCACCUCCUUA